rnacentral:lncRNA from 1 species
ACUUUGUAGACCAAGCUGGUCUCAAACUCAGAGAUCCACCUGCCUCUGCCCUCUGAGUGCUGGGAUUAAAGGUGUGCACCACCUCCUGGCUGUAGAUUUUCUUUUCAUUGCAUCAGAUUUAUUACUUGGUGAGUAGCAGUACUAGUAGUACCAAGAGGAAAGUUUUCAAAAAAAAAUUCAAAACAAACCCAAAACCAACACAGGGCCUGGAAUAUAGCACAGGGGUUGCUUACUUGCCUACCAUUCAUAAGGCUUGGAUUCAACUCCUAGUAUCACCAAUAGGUAGGUGAUUAAUUUAUAAAAUUUAAAAGCCAGAAGGAAGCCCCUCCAGAUAGCAUAAUGUCUCUGUAUAUUGUGUCACUGAAGUCAGCAUGGAGCCAGUCUUCCAGGCUGUGGGCUUUUGGUGGCUGCUAGUCAUGACGUUGACCACUGUUCUCACUGACAGUAAUUUGCUGAAUCAACUUUUGUUGCCCUAUAUCUGCUAUAUCCAAUUGCAGGUUCCUGCUGGGCCUUUGUAGCAUACACUAAUUCCUCACACCCUCUUUGUGUCUUUGGCAUUGGGGGCUUUCCCAUUACAAUCCAGAGUACUUUAUGCUAUAAUUAAUAGUUUACAUGCCCAUUUGCCUUCUAGACUGUGAUAUCCUGGGAUGUAGGGUUAUAUCUUCUACAGUUGCAUGUCCGUAUCCUUGUUACUAUCCUAAACUUGUGCUAUCAGCUUAUUGUUUAUUAGCCCUAACCUUGUUCCAUACCUAGUACCUAGUAUAUGGUACAUUCUAGCUAAACAUUUGUUAAUUGAAAGAAUGCUGUGCUAUAUCCUAACUUUUUUUUUUAUACUUCUAGGCCCGUAAGAAGCAGAAGGAAGAUGUGGAAGGUGUAGGAACCAGCGAUGGAGAAGGAGCUGCUGGGCUCAGCAGUGACCCCAAAAGCCGGGAACAAAUGAUUAAUGAUCGAAUUGGUUAUAAACCCCAACUCAAGAGCAACAACCGCACAUCUCAGUUUGGAAACUUUGAAUUUUAGAGAUGGAUUCUCUUGUAUGCCAGACCCCUGGGACAGAAUACAAUGAUGACAGGAGUACCAACCAGAUUUAGAGAAUUAAGUGUGUGCAACCAAGCAGAAGGUUUUCUGUCUCCUGCAGGGAGAGGUGACUUCUGUGUGAAAUUACUGCUGUCCAACCUUUCUGAUUGGCUGGAAGCCAAAUUCUGGCUUCUUCCUGGAAAGUUGGACCGCAGAAGGCUUAACUGAUUUUUGUUUUUAAAAAUAAAUUUAUUUUUGGAAAAAAUGUGAGACGUCCUUAAAGGUAGUAGCACUGCUAAUCGCCAGCUCUGACAGGUAACUGCUACAAGUGACAUCAUUCUCCUUGUCUUUACAAAAAGACCCCAGGCCCCAAACACUUGCAGUUGAUCCCCUGGGCUGACUUGUUUAUUCACUGUCUGCUGACCAUCCUUCAAGCAACAGAGAUCCCAGAUGAGUGUGCUCAGGCUGCAAUCCAGCACUUGGGAGGCUGAAGUAGGAAUCUCAAAGAGUCGAAGGCUAGUCUGGGCUACAGAGCAAAACCCUGUCUCAAAAUGUCAAAAACAAACAAACAAACAAACAAACUGGAGACUGGAUUCAAAUGAUCAGAUUGUCAGAAUUAAACCCACUUCCAGGA